rnacentral:rRNA from 1 species
UACGUAGGGCGCAAGCGUUGUCCGGAAUUAUUGGGCGUAAAGAGCUCGUAGGCGGUUUGUCGCGUCUGCUGUGAAAACUCGAGGCUCAACCUCGGGCUUGCAGUGGGUACGGGCAGACUAGAGUGCGGUAGGGGUGACUGGAAUUCCUGGUGUAGCGGUGGAAUGCGCAGAUAUCAGGAGGAACACCGGUGGCGAAGGCGGUUCUCUGGGCCUUACCUGACGCUGAGGAGCGAAAGCGUGGGGAGCAAACAGG